UUUCUAAACACAAAUUUCUCAUUUUCAAGUUCUGACUCGACUGACUUGCCAGCCACUCGGCCAAAACGUCCCUUUUAUGUUGAAACCGAAGACUACAAGUGGAAGGAACACAAGAGGCUAACAUAUGAUGCUCUGAAGUAUUUAAAUGACCUUGAGAAGAUGUUUUGAGAGGCAGAACUGGAGGCGUUCAAUGCGCGAUCCGUGGCACAGGAAUACCAGGUUGAAAUUGGCUCGUUAAAAAAGAAAAUUUAUGAUUUGGAAGGGGAGUUGCCUUAGAUGAAGGAGAAGGAGGCUUCUUCGGCUGUUGAACGUGUUGGUCUGAAUAUUGCAAUCACACACAUGAAACAUGAAGCCUGCACUCAAUACAGGGGAAACCUAGAGCUUCUUAUUGGCGAGGAGCCUAAUGCUUCCCAAGUUGUCCUGUCUCGAAGCUCUGCGCUAUAGUAUCACUAUGAUGCAUAUGAAGCACCUAACAAUCCUGAGUUUCGACCCCCUUUUAACAUGGAGAGCUCUGCAUCUUCUUCGAGUCGUGUCUGGAGUGACGACGUUCCCAAAUGCUACUGUGCUAGGGAUUCCGCGUGCCAGACUUCAUGGUCCAACACAUAUCCAGGCUGCAAAUUAUACACUUGUGGAAACUAUGAUCGCAAUGCAAAAGCAUGUCAUUUCUUUCAAUGGAUUGAUCCAGAGAUAUGCAAGGGAGCAGCCAUGGUGUUUUUGAAGUUGCGAAAAAGGAUUGAGGAGAAAAAUCAAGUUGUUAAUGUGCUGAGGAUCCAAAUUAAGUGUUUAAAAAUAUUUAUGCUUUCAAUUGUGUUCAUUAUAUUAUUAAAAAUAUUUAUGUAACUCGGAAGUUGGUAUAUUUAGGAUAUUAUUCAC